UGUCUGGAUAUUGCUAUUCAGGUCACUGAGAGAAGAGGAAACAUACACAAAGCUGCAUGAAAAAGAUAAUUCACCUUAUGAGUGCAACAGAAGUUUCAUAACAACGUAACUCCAGCAGGACACCUCCAUAUGAAUGGCUUUCCAUAGCACCAUACUGGGCAGAUUGCCAGCAAGUUCUACCAGCUUAGCACCACAGUGACUUCUCUGUCAUCUGGUGAGCCUAUGAUCGCCAAUAAAGGUCUGGAUCUCAGCCUGGGCUCUCUUCCUUGGGUCUAUGCUGAACCUAACUGGAAACUGGGUGGCAAGAGUUGAUACAGUCCACACAGGUCGGCCUCCUGGGCAGAGAUCAGAGUAGGACAGGAUGAAGAACACAUCUGGAGGGUCAAAGAGAAGCUAUGACACAGGGUCCUUAUUAAUCAAAGUGUGAUCCAUUGACCACCAUCAUCAGCAUCUGCUGGAGCCUAUUAGGAAUGCAGAAUACCAGGCCCCAUCACAGACCAGUUACUGAAUUGGAAUCUGCAUUGUAACAAACUUCUCAGGUGGCUCUCUCUCAGGACUAUUCUGGCUUCUCAGGAUCCAUUGCCCUUGCCCAGGAGAGAGAGCCUCGCUGGGACCCAGAAACCGCGAAAGAAGAUUCGACCUACCUGUGGAACCAGACACAACUUGGUCCCCAAAGGUCGCUUAGGCGACCCCACUGCAAACGGCAAGUCAACUUGUGCACUUAAAACGUAUCAGUUUAUGGAAUGCUUGUUUAAAGUCCUCAUUGGACAUGGUAUAGAUUAUGGGGUUGAUGAGGGAGUUGAGAUAGCCCAGCCAUGUGAAGAAGUCAAAGAUGGCUAGGUGGAACCAGCAGGCAUCUUUGCAGAUAGGCAUCACUAGGGAGAUGAUGAAGAAGGGUAGCCAACACACAAUAAAGGCUCCCAAAAUGAUCCCUAGGGUCUUGGUGGCUUUGCGCUCCCUAGCGGCCAUGAGUUUCUUCUUUUCCAGCAGGGCGUCGGAGACUCGCACUUUGACUUGGUUCACAUACACAGGAGAUCCGGAUUCGCUGGGCACGUCGGGAACCCGCGAGUUAAUAGAGGCUGACGCCAGAAGAAGGGCGGCAGCGAGAUAGAGAUGGAGAAGACCCACACCAGCGCGAUCAUGACCGCCGCCCUCUUGGGAGUCCUUUUAGCUGAGUACUCCACGGCGUCCGUGAUGGCCCAGUAGCGGUCCAGGGCGAUGACACAGAGGUGCAGGAUGGAGGCAGUGCAACAAGUGAUGUCCGACGACAGCCAGAAGUCACAGACCACCUGGCCCAGUGUCCAGCGGCCGGUGACAGUGUACAUGGUGCUGAUGGGCAUCACCAGGAUGGACACAAGCAGGUCGGUGACCGCCAGAGAGGCGAUCAGGUAGUUAGCCGGGGUGUGCAGUUUCCGGGUCCGGUACACUGUGGCAAUCACAAAGGCAUUGGAGAGCGUGGUGGCCAAGGUGAUGAGCGCCAAUAGCAUAACCAGCAGUACUUUCCAGGGUAGGGAGAUGGAGUCCUGGUAAAUGUAGUCCUUGGCGCUGCAGUUUUGGGAGGGAGCAGAGGAUAAGUUGGCUUGAGGAACCCAGGUCUCGGAGCCCGCGGGCGGCGGUGGAGCGCACUGAGCACCCGGUUCCUCCAUGGCUCUCCUCGCCCCAGCUCCGGAGCGCAGCUCUUGGGCAUGGAGCGGACGAAGGAGAGGGCGGAAGGACCGUGGCGAUCGCAGGUUUGUCCCCAGUUGAUAGUUCCGUGAGUUCCUCAAUUAUUCCUCCGCCCAGGUUCACAGCUGAAACUAGAGGUCAUGGGUGCGGCAGCCAAGGCAGGCGGGCGCCUCCCCUGCACUUCCAGAGCGCCUAGCUAAGCCGCCGCGUCUGUGGUUGUUCCUCUCCACACCGGGUCUUAGACCUGGGUUGCUAAGAGCUGGCCCACCGAGCCCUGCUCCGCUCCAGCUCCCUGGAGGCGUCUAGUGCAGGAGGGUGAAGUACUGCUUGAGGAGAAGGCUUUGACCAAAUGGGAUCUCUUACCCCAGUUGCUUGAGGCUGAGCGUCUCCUAACCUGGACGCUUUUGGAUCUGCAGACUUUGCCCACAGGAGUUUCCUAGGUGUAGAGACCAAAGCUUGCAGGCCAGCGAGAGGUCCCGAGAUCUUGCAUUCCCACCCCUCGCCCCAAGCUGGGGCACUUUUGGGGGGCUGCAGCGGCCGCCAGAGCUGGGUGGGGUGAAGUCUAGGAGCAGCGCUGCGCCGCGCCUCGCGCCGGAGCUCUGCCCUCCCUCUCUUUUCACUCUCUGGCCACUCGGACGAGCUGCCCCGCGGAGACGGAGCCAUAAAAGGGGGGACACGGGGGCUGGAGUUGCGGCUGCUCGGGCCGCGCCGCCGCCACCGCCACCCUGGUCCCACGGGAGCCACUCGGAGCCAUGCCACUGGGUGCGCGGGUCUGGAGGACCUGGCGCGGCACACUGGGAAGGGGCAGGUGUCUGGGGGAGCUGGAGGGACGCGGCGUGCACCAGCCCGGGAGAAGCGUGCGAGCUACGGAGCAGAUGGGCUCUUUAUAUAGAGUCCAGGUCCGGUCCGCCAGAGCAGUGCAACUCGUGCGGCGCGGCGGGUGCGGACGCCCGCUCCCCAUCACCUUCCCUUUUUCUCUCUCCCUCCCUCUUUUCCCCCCGCCCUGUU
rnacentral:lncRNA from 1 species